rnacentral:rRNA from 1 species
GACGAACGCUGGCGGCGUGCCUAAUACAUGCAAGUAGAACGAGUUGCGAACGGGUGAGUAACGCGUGGUAACCUGCCUCAUAGCGGGGGAUAACUAUUGGAAACGAUAGCUAAUACCGCAUACUGUGAGAUGGACCUGCGUUGUAUUAGCUAGUAGGUGGGGUAACGGCUCACCUAGGCGACGAUCCCUAGCUGGUCUGAGAGGAUGACCAGCCACACUGGAACGGAGACACGGUCCAGACUCCUACGGGAGGCAGCAGUGGGGAAUAUUGCAAAAGGGGCGCAAGCCUGAUGCAGCCAUGCCGCGUGUGUGAAGAAGGCCUUCGGGUUGUAAAGCACUUUCAGCGGGGAGGCGUUACCCGCAGAAGAAGCACCGGCUAACUCCGUGCCAGCAGCCGCGGUAAUAC